CUGCACUGCUAUAGUUAGUGAGAAGAAAAGGCAGACCGGCGGAGGCAGUGAUAUGGGCAAUGCUCUGCUGAGAAACCUUGAAUCCUGGAAUUCAUGUGGAUGUUCUUUGACACGUACCACCUACCUAGAGAUUGUUGCAGAUCGCAUACACCCCUUCAUGGCAAUGGAGUUCCCUGAUGGCAGUUGCCUUUAUCAACAGGAUAAUGCACCGUUCUACACUGCAAAAAUGUUCAGGAAUGGCUUAAAUAACAUCACAAAGCUUUCAGGGUGUUACUUUGGCCUUUGAAUUCCUCAGAUCUCAAUCCGAUUGAGCAUCUGUGGGAUGUGCUGGAACAACAAAUCCGAUCCAUGGAGACCCUCUCUCACAACUUGCAGGAUUUAAAGAAUCUGCUGCUAAUGUCUUGGUGCCAGAUACCACAGGACAUGUUCAGAGGUCUACUGGAGUCCGUACCUCGACACAUCAGAGCUAUUUUGUCAGAACGUUGGGGGUGCUUAACAAUAUUAAGCACGUGGUUUUAAUGUUGUGGCUGAUCAGUGUAUAUCUUAAACUUUAAACUGAAUUACCCGCUACACUGAUUGAAAAUCAGAAAU